AGAGUUUGAUCCUGGCUCAGAUUGAACGCUGGCGGCAUGCCUUACACAUGCAAGUCGAACGGCAGCGCGGACUUCGGUCUGGCGGCGAGUGGCGAACGGGUGAGUAAUACAUCGGAACGUACCCUGUUGUGGGGGAUAACUAGUCGAAAGAUUAGCUAAUACCGCAUACGACCUGAGGGUGAAAGCGGGGGACCAAAAGGCCUCGCGCAGCAGGAGCGGCCGAUGUCUGAUUAGCUAGUUGGUGGGGUAAAGGCCCACCAAGGCGACGAUCAGUAGCUGGUCUGAGAGGACGAUCAGCCACACUGGGACUGAGACACGGCCCAGACUCCUACGGGAGGCAGCAGUGGGGAAUUUUGGACAAUGGGGGCAACCCUGAUCCAGCAAUGCCGCGUGUGUGAAGAAGGCCUUCGGGUUGUAAAGCACUUUUGUCCGGAAAGAAAUUGCUCUGGCUAAUACCUGGGGUAGAUGACGGUACCGGAAGAAUAAGCACCGGCUAACUACGUGCCAGCAGCCGCGGUAAUACGUAGGGUGCGAGCGUUAAUCGGAAUUACUGGGCGUAAAGCGUGCGCAGGCGG
rnacentral:rRNA from 1 species